rnacentral:misc_RNA from 1 species
UUUCCGUAGGUGAACCUGCGGAAGGAUCAUUAUAAAUGAAAAACGAAUAACUUCAGGGCAGAAGGGAACCUGCACGGUGACCUCCCCUGUCGGGCCACCCAAUACCUUCAAAAUGCCGCCGUCCUAGCGGUGGCAGACGAAAAAAAAACAAGAAAAACAAAAUAGAAACAGGCACGGUGGCCCGUUCACCUUCACACAACCCUCCGAGCACCGCUUCCAUGUUGCUUCCCCGCAAAUCCACCUCUUUGGUGGGCGCGGGGGAGGUCCGCAUCAAAUUCACCUGAAUGUCACAGCAGUCAGACAGCCAUUCAUGGAAACAAUAAAACUUUCAACAACGGAUCUCUUGGUUCCC